UCCCUACGGGAGGCAGCAGUAGGGAAUAUUGGGCAAUGGGCGCAAGCCUGACCCAGCAACGCCGCGUGAAGGAAGAAGGCUUUCGGGUUGUAAACUUCUUUUCUCAGGGACGAAGAAAGUGACGGUACCUGAGGAAUAAGCCACGGCUAACUACGUGCCAGCAGCCGCGGUAAUACGUAGGUGGCAAGCGUUAUCCGGAUUUACUGGGUGUAAAGGGGGCGCAGACGGCAAUGCAAGCCAGGAGUGAAAGCCCGGGGCCCAACCCCGGGACUGCUCUUGGAACUGCAUGGCUGGAGUACAGGAGG
rnacentral:rRNA from 1 species